rnacentral:rRNA from 1 species
UUAGUGGCGGACGGGUGAGUAACACGUGGGAACGUGCCUUUUGGUUCGGAAUAGCUCCUGGAAACGGGUGGUAAUGCCGAAUGUGCCCUUCGGGGGAAAGAUUUAUCGCCAUUAGAGCGGCCCGCGUCUGAUUAGCUAGUUGGUGAGGUAAAGGCUCACCAAGGCUACGAUCAGUAGCUGGUCUGAGAGGAUGACCAGCCACAUUGGGACUGAGACACGGCCCAAACUCCUACGGGAGGCAGCAGUGGGGAAUCUUGCGCAAUGGGCGAAAGCCUGACGCAGCCAUGCCGCGUGUAUGAUGAAGGUCUUAGGAUUGUAAAAUACUUUCACCGGUGAAGAUAAUGACGGUACCAUCAGAAGAAGCCCCGGCUAACUCCGUGCCAGCAGCCGCGGUAAUACGGAGGGGGCUAGCGUUAUUCGGAAUUACUGGGCGUAAAGCGCACGUAGGCGGAUCGGAAAGUCAGAGGUGAAAUCCCAGGGCUCAACCUUGGA